UACAGAGGUCCCAAGCGUUGUUCGGAUUCACUGGGCGUAAAGGGUGCGUAGGCGGUCGGGUAAGUCUGUCGUGAAAUCUCCGAGCCCAACUCGGAAACUGCGUCGGAUACUAUUCGGCUAGAGGAAUGGAGGGGAGACUGGAAUUCUCGGUGUAGCAGUGAAAUGCGUAGAUAUCAAGAGGAACACCUGAGGUGAAGACGGGUCGCUGGGCCGACACUGACGCUGAGUGCGCGAAAGCCAGGGGAGCAAACGGG
rnacentral:rRNA from 1 species